rnacentral:rRNA from 1 species
UAGUCCACGCCCUAAACGAUGCUAACUCGAUAUUUGGGCAGUAAGCACUGAGUAUCCAAGGGAAACCGUUAAGUUAGCCACCUGGGGAGUACGUUCGCAAGAAUGAAACUCAAAGGAAUUGACGGGGGUCCGCACAAGCGGUGGGGCAUGUGGUUUAAUUCGAUGAUACGCGAGGAACCUUACCUGGGCCCUAAUGCGCGCGCUAUCUGCUGAAAGGCGGAGUUCCUUCGGGACGCAAAGCAAGGUGCUGCAUGGUUGUCGUCAGCUCGUGCCGUGAGGUGUUGGGUUAAGUCCCGGCAACGAGCGCAACCCCUAUUGUUAGUUGCCCAGCAUUAAGUUGGGGACUCUAACAAGACUGCCGGCGCAAGCCGAGAGGAAGGUGGGGAUGACGUCAAAUCAUCAUGGCCUUUAUGCCCAGGGCUACACACGUGCUACAAUGGUACAUACAAAGGGUAGCGAAGCCGCGAGGUGGAGCCAAUCCCAGAAAGUGUAUCCCAGUUCGGA